rnacentral:lncRNA from 1 species
CCUAUCCACCCUCAACAAUCAACAUCAGCGCCCAAGACCACCCACGGAAGCACCUUGCUAUAACUAUUCAAAGACACAUCGACCACCCACGAGCUAAAUUUCAAGCCCCGAGGCUUCCAAAAAAAUCAAGAAGACAAGAAAAAUAACUUUUUUCUUACCUAGAAGCAACGAGAAAACGAAGCAAGCAACGAAAGACGAUCCUUUGCAAUGGGCAAGAUGUGGAAGAUUGCUAGAGG